UACCAACACCCCGAGUGGUCGGGACGAUUAUUGGGCCUAAAGCAUCCGUAGCCGGCCUUACAAGUCCUCCGUUAAAUCCAGCUGCUUAACAGAUGGGCUGCGGAGGAUACUAUAAGACUAGGAGGCAGGAGAGGCAAGCGGUACUCAGUGGGUAGGGGUAAAAUCCGUUGAUCCAUUGAAGACCACCAGUGGCGAAGGCGGCUUGCCAGAAUGCGCUCGACGGUGAGGGAUGAAAGCUGGGGGAGCAAACCGG
rnacentral:rRNA from 1 species